rnacentral:lncRNA from 1 species
CACUUCAUUAGAGAUUGAGUUUGAAACCUUCAUUUACAUCUAGUAAUUUAGUACUUGUUCUACUGGUUCUUGCUGGUUCUUCGAUUGCUUGCAGGACGAGUGCCCUAGUGGCCGGGUGUUGCGCUCCACAAGAUCGUGACAGCCAUUGGAGGCGGUGUAUCGGUUGCUAAGGCGCGGCCUUAGAAGGCUGUAGUCGGGCCGUGAACGUCAUCUCCAUUCACUAAUCGAGUUAUCCAGCGCCUCUCAUCGAAAGAUCAGGCGAAAACCCUAGUGGGUUCACAUCAGUUGGUAAUCAGAGCAAGGUUUAUCGGUGAGAGAUUUCCAAUUCUUCGUGAUUGUUUUUCCUAUAGUCCAAAAAAAAGCCAAAAAAUAUAGCAGAUUUGUUUUCCAUAAUCCUAUAAAUCCUUUGUGCCGUGGCUAGUACUACUUAGUUAGGGCUGGUUGAAUGAGUGUUUGCUUCGGUCGUGUCUAGUGCUGGUUUUAGUUUAGUCCUUUAGAGUUUUGAGUUCUUGUCACCAUCUAGUCACAACUGCGUCCAAUCUAUUGUGGGUUGGAAUUUGAGUAGAUCUUGAUAAUAGGUGCAGCCACUUGUUGGUCUAUUCUGCGUUUCCAUCAACGUGAUCCAAAAGGAAAGAUAGCACUUCAUACUUGUGCUAGAUAUAUUGAAUUUUGAGGUUCAGCCUUACUCUAGUGAGAGGGUGAGAGUGGUGAAGUGAUAUUUUGUACUAUUUUGUUUAUAUAAUCAGGUUUUGAGGUUCCCCAAAAAAAAGAAAAGAGAAAGAAAAAAAAUAAAGAAAAAAAAGAAAGAAAGAAAGAAAAAAAAUCAAAAAAAAGGAUUGUUGUUCCUUUUGUUUCCAGUAGGGCUGCUCAUUUUGUUUCUAGUGGUGUGCUGUGUUUUCCCUUUGUGUCCAGGCUCGCGUCUCUAGCACGGUCUAGGCUAGGACCAGCAUAGUACCACCGUUGAGCGUUUAUUCAACUUGCUUUUUAUAACUAACGUGGUGCUAGUUCGAUCCUUGUUUCAGCCCACCUAUAGCUCCACAUAUUCUACAGCUUGAUAGGUUUUGUUGCUGCGGCACCGAUACACUUCGUCCAUUGCUGUGGAUUUGUUGGUAGCCAAUCCCUCCUGUUGAGCAAGGUA